AUUAGAUAUUGCCAACGAAUUCGUUUAAAAUAAAAAGAACGAACAUUGGGCAAGGUUUUCACACGUGUAUGCAAGUAUAUAGCUUCGGGAUAUGAUAAAGUGACGUAAUGAUGAGGAAAAAAGAGAAUUCGAGUUUCUGUUCUGUUAUAUAUUUCUAGUUCAUUAUAAUAAAUAUUAUAAUAAAAAUAGUCAGUUUUAUAACAAAAAUAAUUAAAAAAAAUUAUUAAAAAUAUAAACUCUGAAAAAAUAUUAAAUAAUUUUACAUAAUUUACUAAUAGAAAAUAGAGGAAAAAAAUCAUAUUAUACAAAAGAAUAAAAUGCAAACUAAACGACUUAUAAAAAAAGAUAUCUAUUUCAAACUAACAUGUGUAUUUAAUAAUAAUGUAAUGAUUUUGUUUUUGUUCCUAUGUAAGUGUGUGACUUUAUAUAUACACUACCGAAAGUGAAUUUUGUUAUACAUAUAUUUGAAAGAUGGAUAUACAUUUAGUACGUUUGCGUGUAUGCAUAAUAUUGGUAGUACUUUUAGCAACAAAAGAGUGUGAAACUAUAUUAUAUCAUAAUUAUAUCAUAUAAUUAUAUUAUAUAAUAUAAGAUACUUGGCAUGGUAUUUUGGAAUACAAAUGUGUCUCCAAUGCAAUAAAUAUCCGUUUCUUUAUCCG